AGAGUUUGAUCCUGGCUCAGAGCGAACGCUGGCGGCAGGCCUAACACAUGCAAGUCGAACGAAGUCUUCGGACUUAGUGGCGGACGGGUGAGUAACACGUGGGAACGUGCCUUUAGGUUCGGAAUAACUCAGGGAAACUUGUGCUAAUACCGAAUGUGCCCUUCGGGGGAAAGAUUUAUCGCCUUUAGAGCGGCCCGCGUCUGAUUAGCUAGUUGGUGAGGUAAAGGCUCACCAAGGCGACGAUCAGUAGCUGGUCUGAGAGGAUGAUCAGCCACAUUGGGACUGAGACACGGCCCAAACUCCUACGGGAGGCAGCAGUGGGGAAUUUUGCACAAUGGGCGAAAGCCUGACGCAGCAACGCCGCGUGAGUGAUGAAGGCCUUCGGGUCGUAAAGCUCUGUCAGAGGGGAAGAACCGCCGGGUGGCUAAUACCUGCCUGGUCUGACGGUACCCUCAAAGGAAGCACCGGCUAACUCCGUGCCAGCAGCCGCGGUAAUACGGAGGGUGCAAGCGUUGUUCGGAAUUAUUGGGCGUAAAGCGCGUGUAGGCGGUUUGUUAAGUCUGGUGUGAAAGCCCUGGGCUCAACCUGGGAAGUGCAUUGGAUACUGGCAAACUUGAGUACGGGAGAGGAUAGUGGAAUUUCGAGUGUAGGGGUGAAAUCCGUAGAUAUUCGAAGGAACACCGGUGGCGAAGGCGGCUAUCUGGACCGAUACUGACGCUGAGACGCGAAAGCGUGGGGAGCAAACAGGAUUAGAUACCCUGGUAGUCC
rnacentral:rRNA from 1 species